UAUGUAGGCAGUUGAGAUAAUAUACACUUCCACAAAAUAAAAAGUCCUUAUAAAAAGUCCAAAUUGCAAACGCCUUUCGACUGUAAAGUUUUCCUCAGUGCAGGAUAAAUCAGACCUGGCAGCAUGGUUCAUUUUAUACCCUCCUAGAGUUGAAAUUUUCGCAGCAAAUCUUUUCUCCACUUCCGGUUCGCGGUAAACUUCGUACAUUUCCGGGUCACGUGGUAGCCGGCGUCAACUUCCGG